UUCGCAAUGCCCGAAAGGGUGACGAAGCGACGCCGCGUGGGUGAGGAAGGCCUUCGGGUUGUAAAACCCUGUCAGGAGUUAUGAAAUGUAAGUACGCUAAUAUCGUGCUUAUUUGACAAAGGCUCCAAAGGAAGCCACGGCUAACUCUGUGCCAGCAGCCGCGGUAAUACAGAGGUGGCGAGCGUUGUUCGGAAUUAUUGGGCGUAAAGAGCACGUAGGUGGGUUUGCAAGUCAGAUAUGAAAGCCUUUUGUUCAACGGAAGAAUUGCAUCUGAAACUGCUAAUCUUGAGUAUAGGAGGGGAGAAUGGAACUUCUGGUGGAGCGGUGAAAUGCGUAGAUAUCAGAAGGAACGCCGGCGGCGAAAGCGAUUCUCUGGCCUAUUACUGACACUCAGUGUGCGAAAGCUAGGGGAGCAAACGGGAUUAGAUACCCCGGUAGUCCUAGCCGUAAACGAUGGGCACUAAGUAGAGGGGUUUU
rnacentral:rRNA from 1 species